rnacentral:rRNA from 1 species
UACGGGAGGCAGCAGUGGGGAAUAUUGCACAAUGGGCGCAAGCCUGAUGCAGCCAUGCCGCGUGUAUGAAGAAGGCCUUCGGGUUGUAAAGUACUUUCAGUCGUGAGGAAGGUGUUAAGGUUAAUAACCUUAGCAAUUGACGUUAGCGACAGAAGAAGCACCGGCUAACUCCGUGCCAGCAGCCGCGGUAAUACGGAGGGUGCGAGCGUUAAUCGGAAUUACUGGGCGUAAAGGGCGCGCAGGCGGUUAAUUAAGUUGGAUGUGAAAUCCCCGGGCUUAACCUGGGAAUGGCAUUCAAGACUGGUUAGCUAGAGUCUUGUAGAGGGGGUAGAAUUCCAUGUGUAGCGGUGAAACGCGUAGAGAUGUGGAGGAAUACCGGUGGCGAAGGCGGCCCCUGGACAAAGACUGACGCUCAUGUGCGAAAGCGUGGGGAGCAAACGAGGGAUUAGAUACC